rnacentral:rRNA from 1 species
UCUACGGGUGGCUGCAGUCGAGAAUCAUUCACAAUGGGGGAAACCCUGAUGGUGCGACGCCGCGUGGGGGAAUGAAGGUCUUCGGAUUGUAAACCCCUGUCAUGUGGGCGCAAAUUAAAAAGAUAGUACCACAAGAGGAAGAGACGGCUAACUCUGUGCCAGCCGCCGCGGUAAUACAGAGGUCUCAAGCGUUGUUAGGAAUAACUGGGCGGAAAGCGUGCGUAGGCUGUUUCGUAAGGCGUGUGUUAAGGGCGCGGGCCUAACCCGGGGACGGCAGAUGAUACUGGGAGACUAGAGUAUUGGGGAGGGAACCGGAAUUCUCGGUGUAGCAGUGAAAUGCGUAGAUAGCGAGAGGAACAC